UAAUAAUUAUUAUUAUCUUAUAUAUAAAAAUAGAUUUUAUAAUGUGUUAGUCGUGCUAAAACACGAAAACGGCUGAACGGAUUGGGCUGAUUUUAGUCUUAAAAUAUUCGGAGAAGUCCAGGGAAGGUUAUAAAGUGA